UCAGAGGUACUAUAGCAGUUGGUCUUUUUAUCAUUACAUGCACAACACCAUUCUGGUCUAAAACCUGGAACGCUAACCUCCUUGCAAAUGUACCAACCACUUUUUGGGGAUUCAUGGUUUAAAACACCGGUUUCAUGUCUUUGAUUGUUCUCGAUUCUUGUGCCUGUCAAGAAAUGAGACGAAACCUAGACUGAAAAUAAUGAAAUAUGCGAUAACUAACUUCAACAUCUUCGUGUGACUGUGUCUU
rnacentral:lncRNA from 1 species